rnacentral:rRNA from 1 species
GACGAACGCUGGCGGCGUGCUUAACACAUGCAAGUCGAACGGAAAGGCCCCCUUGUGGGGUACUCGAGUGGCGAACGGGUGAGUAACACGUGAGUAACCUACCCUUGACUUUGGGAUAACUUCAGUAAACUGGGGCUAAUACCGGAUAGGAGCUCCUGCUGCAUGGUGGGGGUUGGAAAGUUUCGGCGGUUGGGGAUGGACUCGCGGCUUAUCAGCUUGUUGGUGGGGUAGUGGCUCACCAAGGCUUUGACGGGUAGCCGGCCUGAGAGGGUGACCGGCCACAUUGGGACUGAGAUACGGCCCAGACUCCUACGGGAGGCAGCAGUGGGGAAUAUUGCACAAUGGGCGGAAGCCUGAUGCAGCAACGCGGCGUGCGGGAUGACGGCCUUCGGGUUGUAAACCGCUUUCGACUGUGACGAAGCGUGAGUGACGGUAAUGGGUAAAGAAGCACCGGCUAACUACGUG